UGCGAGUCGACACAGCAAUGUGUGGCAUACGGCUCAGUAACACGUAGUCAACAUGCCCAGGGGACGUGGAUAACCUCGGGAAACUGAGGAUAAACCGCGAUAGGUCACUACUUCUGGAAUGGGUAAUGACCCAAACCUAUAUGGCCCCCGGAUUGGACUGCGGCCGAUCAGGCUGUUGGUGAGGUAAUGGCCCACCAAACCUGUAACCGGUACGGGCUCUGAGAGGAGGAGCCCGGAGAUGGGCACUGAGACAAGGGCCCAGGCCCUAUGGGGCGCAGCAGGCGCGAAACCUCUGCAAUAGGCGAAAGCUUGACAGGGUUACUCUGAGUGAUUUCCGUUAAGGAGAUCUUUUGGCACCUCUAAAAAUGGUGCAGAAUAAGGGGUGGGCAAGUCUGGUGUCAGCCGCCGCGGUAAUACCAGCACCCCGAGUGGUCGGGACGUUUAUUGGGCCUAAAGCAUCCGUAGCCGGUUCUACAAGUCUUCCGUUAAAUCCACCUGCUCAACAGAUGGGCUGCGGAAGAUACUAUGGAGCUAGGAGGCGGGAGAGGCAAGCGGUACUCGAUGGGUAGGGGUAAAAUCCGUUGAUCCAUUGAAGACCACCAGUGGCGAAGGCGGCUUGCCAGAACGCGCUCGACGGUGAGGGAUGAAAGCUGGGGGAGCAAACCGGAUUAGAUACCCGGGUAGUCCCAGCUGUAAACGAUGCAGACUCGGUGAUGAGUUGGCUUUAUGCCAACUCAGUGCCGCAGGGAAGCCGUUAAGUUUGCCGCCUGGGGAGUACGGUCGCAAGACUGAAACUUAAAGGAAUUGGCGGGG
rnacentral:rRNA from 1 species